UGACACUGUGAUUCUAAGAGGCCAUGAAGCUUGACAAGGGUCAUCCAGCUAGAAAACGACAGAGCCUGUGUUGAACUCAUAUCGUCUUGACAGCACGAUUAAAAUACAACACUAUAUUCGCCAAGUAUAAUAUUCAUGACAUACGUUCUAAUCCGACAGUGAAUAGACACACUGGAAGGAGUUAAACCUAGAAGAGGAAACGGCCCCUUAGUCCUUAAAGAGGUGUGGAGGCUUACGGAAGUCAUUAGAGAAGUGGUCAGUUUUCAUUGCACCUCCGAGCGUGAGAAAAGCUGCAGUAUCAUCAACGCAGCGAAGCGUCUAGUUCCCUGAGCCCGUAGCCAGUGGUAGCACAGAAAGCCCUGGUCCUGUCAACCAUUCCACACCUUGCUCUAUGUCAGAGGAAAUGUAUGGAGAUGUUUUUCUCUCCUGCACAUGGUGUUUUCUCGGAAAGCACAAAAUGAAACCAGAUGCUGAAACAAAGGAAUGACCUUCCUUAGCUGAGGUGGAACCAGUUGAAAGCCCCCGGCUGUGGUCUUCUCUCCUGUGUCUGCAGCAUCCAGGAACCCACGGCCCGUCUAGGCAGGGAAGAGCCAUCCAUGUGCAGUGGAGACAAGAGGCUAAGAACUGUCUCUGUGGCGGAGUUGUCUGGAAGAUGCCCUAGGCAUCUGUCAAGGAUGUCCUCUCGGAGUUAGAAAAAGGACAGGUCUGGUCUCUAUCUUCCAUGCGCUGCAGUCUUGGGAUCCAACAGGGAACAAGCACUAACCAUGUGCAUGUGCAUAAAACAUGGAGCACUCGGCAACCACCAAACACCCUCGGUGUUACCAGAAUAUAAGCUUCCUUUAAAACGACACUGCUGCAGUAACUAGUCUUACACUGCCAUGGGACCAGAUGACAUGCGGAAAAAUCUAAGCUUUUCUGCCUCCGCCACUGCCUGGAUUUGGAGAAGAAGGAAAGACAGAAAGGAAAAGAUAAUGGGGGUGAGAAUCUUGCCAGGAAAGAUGCCAUAGAAAGUAUAUCCCCUUGGCUGAGAUUUGCAGAUGAAUGGAUGUUCUCCUGGAAUUCUGGAAGAAGGAGGCUUCUGAGCAAAGAUUCAGAGGUGUCUCUGCAGCAUCUUUUAAGGCAGUUAUUGGGCAAAAGAGAACACGAACCCCAGGGCUCAUCUUCUAAGAACUUUUUUUAAAGAGCCAAGAUUGAAGACAGUGGAGUAGCCAUUGCAGUACAAACGCAGAGUUUAGCUAAUUCUUCAAUAUCGUCCUGCUCUGGGAGAGGCUUCAACAGGACCAAAUGUGUCACUUCUUAGGGAAGAGCCUGAGGUAGAGUGAUGCAUUUACAUAGCCCUUUGAAUAAGGAAAGAAUUAUAAAUUCAACAGCCACUUUUUAUUUUGUAUUUGUAUACACUUUUACAAAGAUUAAAGUGCAUAUCAUUUAAAUACAAAACUUCUUGCAGUUCUCGGAUGGGGUCCCACCUUUUUCUUCCAUUGUUUUUUAUGUCUGGGUAGUAGCUUACCUCCUCCAACGUGACUUUGAGCCCCGAAGGGUCAGAACCAUGUUUUCUCGCUUCUCCUAUAUCAUGGGCAGAGUUCAACUCUCUGCCAGGCAAGUCGUAGUUUCUUAACAUGUUGAUUCAUUUGUUUUUUGAUCAAAGAAAUAUACAUACUUUUCUAGAUACAUGCACCCUAAUGUUCACUGCAGCACUAUUUACAACAGCCAAGAUCUAG
rnacentral:lncRNA from 1 species